rnacentral:tRNA from 1 species
GGUAGAGCUCAGUGGUAAAGAGCGUGCUUGGCAUGCACGAGGUCCUGGGUUCGAUCCCCAGUACC